AGAGAAAAACGGGAACAGUAACCAUUCGUUGCCUCUGAGUUCUCUCCAUCUCAAUCCAAAGUUCUCUCUCAAUCCCGCUCAAUCGCUCUCUCAUGUAUCCAAACCUCUCUCUCUCAAAAUUGCUCACCAGCGAACCCUCUCUCACUCGAACUCAAAGAAAACUCCCCCUGCUCUCGCGUCCCCAACCUUCACCGUCAACCUUCGCUCAUCCUUCACAAUCCCUCACAACCUCUCAUUCGCUCACCUCUCAACAAUCUCUCUUAUUUGCACGGUCCCCCCUCAAUCGCUCUCUCUCAUUCUCACCAAAACCCUCUCAAUCGCGCUUUCUCUAUCUCAGUAUCGCUCUCAAUCACGCUCUCUCACUCAAACACAACAGGACAUGCAAGAACUCGUGGAUAGGAUAAAAAAGAGCUCACCUUCGGCGGUGAUGACGUUGAUGAUGAAGCUUCAAACUCCUCCCGCUCUUCAACCAGGUUUUCUUUGAUUUUAAGGGUUUGGAGAUCAAAAGAGGUCUCUGCAAAAUCCCUUUUGAUGUGCUCAAUCGGGAUGGUCCUUACUCGAUGCUAAAUCAGAAUCGGUAAACUGCACUCAUGCUUUCUCUUCGUUUUUUGUCUUGAUUCCAAAUUGGGGAUUUUCUGGAUGUUUUGAAUUUUACUGCUUUGGCUGAUUACUUACCUUUUUACUGCAGUGAAUUUUUUUUGUCAGAAAACUCAGUUGAUUUGGUUGAGGUUCAAUGGCUUUGGAGGUUUGGAUGUGGUUCUGCAGGAUGCUUGGCUUGGGCUUUGUGGUGGUUUGCUUUUUGACAUUAUUGAUGUUUCAUGCUGCAGGCUAGUGGAUUUGGACUAGGUAUACUUGCAGUAUUUCUUCAUGAUGCAUGGCAAUAAGGAUUCAAAAUAAGACCAUUGUAAUAUAGUAGUGGAAACAGGGUCUGCUGACGUUUUUGUUCAGUAGGUUUGACCCUGCUCAACUUGCUUCUGCGACUUGAUUCUGCAACAUGAUACUUGCUCCAGGUUGCAUCUGAUCUCGCUUAAGAGCUUGUUGGAGUUGGACGACCUGUUGUUGAGAUUGCAUCUGAAGCUUAUGUCUCAAAAGUUGUUGGUUGUACAGAUACUGUCUUUUUGGAUUUCGACGAGUUUUGGCAAAUACCGGUUCUUGGAGCAGGCCCUUCCAAUCUGGUCAUGAACUGACUGAUGUUGUAUGGGCUGCAGAAUGUUGUGAUUUUGCACAUCUAGGCAUUGGUUUCCAGAAGGUACAAUUUGCAACAUGGUUGAGAUUUGCCUUCUGACUUGAUGUGGUGCAGCAGGGUUCCUGGCAUGGUUCAAUGGAGUGUUUUGCGCUAGUAUUGGCAUCUGGUGCAAGUUAGAAACUAACAAACCAUAAAAUUAUGUUGGCUCAGUUAGGUUAGACUUGAAGUGCACUUUAAUAUUAACUCAAUUAGGUUGGUCUGUCAUUCAUAGUGGGAUUUUGGUAUUGCGGUAGGUUAACUUGUUUUGCACUGUUAUGAUUGUUUGAAAGAACCAAAUGCUGCCAUGUAUCUUUUGUUAUGUGAUAUGAAGAAAUGAUUGCAAUGAGUUCGCAUUGGCCUUUAUCAAUGAUUUAAAUCCCUGUGUACAAACUUACAAGGCUAGCCAGCAUGGAAGACCUACUUAGGAUGCCAUAAAUGUCAUGGUUUGCUGCUAAUUCCUGUUGUUGCUCUAAAGGUAAGUUUCGCAACAUGGUUGGAUUUCAGGUUGCAUCUUUUAAUGACUCGGGUUUAUGCAGGUACGCGAGCUUUGUCCUAUCAUCCAUUUCACACGGCGGUACUUUGGCAUCUUUAUGAUAAAUACUGGGAGUUUUAACAACAAUCAUCUUCCCAGAAGUGCAAAGGACUUUAAUUCGUUCUCUCUUAAUCCCCGAGACUUCGCCGUCUAUUCAAGUGAUGACAGAAUCCUCCAACCAAACAUGGGUUUCAACUUAGAGCAAUAACAGCGGCAGGGACUGAUGGACUUCCAGCUUUAAUCAAACUCCUGCCGAAUCCAGAGCAAUUUUAGCCCUUGCUGUCCAUGACGAAGGUUCUCCAUCUGUGCUGCAGAGAAGUUGGUUCAAGUCUCUAUUUUCAUCUUUUCAUCACAGCUUUCUGUUGUAAUAAAUUUAUUGCUCAACACUGCAUAAUAGGCUUUUAUGAAACCUUCUGUAAUGAUAUUAAUGUGUUGUUAAACUUUUUUUUUUUGGAAUGAAUUGUUGGGAUGCUGGAAUUUAGAUUCUCGAUGGAGUUUUGAUAUA